rnacentral:rRNA from 1 species
GAUGAACGCUGGCGGCGUGCCUAAUACAUGCAAGUCGAGCGAACAGAUGAGGAGCUUGCUCCUCUGACGUUAGCGGCGGACGGGUGAGUAACACGUGGAUAACCUACCUAUAAGACUGGGAUAACUUCGGGAAACCGGAGCUAAUAUCGGAUAAUAUAUUGAACCGCAUGGUUCAAUAGUGAAAGACGGUUUUGCUGUCACUUAUAGAUGGAUCCGCGCCGCAUUAGCUAGUUGGUAAGGUAACGGCUUACCAAGGCAACGAUGCGUAGCCGACCUGAGAGGGUGAUCGGCCACACUGGAACUGAGACACGGUCCAGACUCCUACGGGAGGCAGCAGUAGGGAAUCUUCCGCAAUGGGCGAAAGCCUGACGGAGCAACGCCGCGUGAGUGAUGAAGGUCUUCGGAUCGUAAAACUCUGUUAUUAGGGAAGAACAAAUGUGUAAGUAACUAUGCACGUCUUGACGGUACCUAAUCAGAAAGCCACGGCUAACUACGUG